rnacentral:rRNA from 1 species
UACGGGGGGGCAAGCGUUGUUCGGAAUUACUGGGCGUAAAGGGCUCGUAGGUGGCCAACUAAGUCGGACGUGAAAUCCCCAGGCUCAACUUGGGAACUGCGUCCGAUACUGGAUGGCUUGAAUUCGGGAGAGGGAUGCAGAAUUCCCGGUGUAGCGGUGAAAUGCGCAGAUAUCGGGAGGAACACCAGUAGCGAAGGCGGCUCGCUGGGCCAUUCCUGACGCUGAGACGCGAAAGCUAGGGGAGCGAAACAGG